GGUGCAGAGAGCCGUCUGUGCUGUGAGGAAGAUCGUAGAAUGCCUUGGAAUGAAGAGCAACAGAAAGGACCUUCAGUUUGGGGAGCUGUCUCAGACACCACCCGGGCAUAAAGUAGCCUUCACAGAAGAGACAAGAACCUAAUUCCAGGGCAGCACUACGUACUAUCGAGUCAAUGGUUAUUGGGUGGUCACAUCAGAUUCAUGAUGCUGUGAGUAAGGACACUGCCAAACCUCUUCUGCAUGGCCUUCAUCCAUACCCCUAAACUGAACUGAACUUCUGGAAAGCAAGAAAAGAGAAUCCUUUACUAUAUAAAAAGCAAGAAAUUUUCAUUAACAUGUUGGAAUUUCAAAAGAUGGAAAAGCUGGAGUCUGGAAUCAAGGGGAAAAAUUUAAAUAAGUGGAUCUGCUGAACGAAUGAAGAGUUUCUGGAAAGCUGUGAAGAUUUCAGAAAGAGACCAUGCGAUCCUUCAGAUCACAGUAAUGUUCUUCAGAAACUAUUUGCCUCCGGGUUUGACAGUACUAAACAGGAGCUUUAUCAAGCAACAGCUGUCAUCUUACAGCUAAUUUGUUUCUCAGAAGCUUCAAGGUUCAUGCUGUUCAGUGUAUGAUAGUGAAUAUUGGCCACAUAUUUCCAUGAACAAGUUUUAUACACUUCUGAAUAGGUAACGUGCAGUAUGUGUCUGGUUAAUAUGUGGAUGCAAUUGCCCCAAAUCCAGGACAGAGCUGUGGUGUGACUCAGGAUCUGACCCUGAAGAGGACCAAAGGGUGCUUAGCUUUCAGGACACAGAUAUGGGCUUCUCAGACUCAUUGUUUUAAAUGAUUUUUUUUUGAUGUGUAAAAUAUAGGUGUUUUAAAAACGUAUCACACCCAGUCACAGAACUAAAUCUGAAUUUCUUUAUUGGCUAUGAAGAAGUGCAUGUAGUUCAUCUGUCCUGUUUUGGGUACAUAUGUGUGGUUUUGUGAAGUGUGUUUAAAAACCAAACAAAACAAACCCACAUUGACUGGGGAGGAGGGAGUUAGAAAGUAAGAAGAUUCUUAAAUAAACCUUUCCAAAGAGGCUGGAUUUAAUUUAAAUGUCCAGUUUGGCUACUAAUACUUCUAUUUUACUUUUUCUGAGUGGCUUGCAACAGAAAAGAGAUUUAGCCAUGAUGGAAAGAAUAAUGUUUUCUCAGAGAUGAUCAAAAUUUAACUGAGGGUUGGAUACCAGGGGGAGCUGUCAACCUGCAUCUUCCAGACUGUGGAUCCAGUUGCCUUCCCAUGGCUUGUCUUCUACCCGGCAGCCUGGUCUGUUUUGAGACAUUUGAGGGAACAGUCUGUUGGAAACCUUGAUCUCAUCGCUCUCAGCUGCACAACAGACUGACACAGACUGCUCUGGAGGUAUAACAUCCUCUGAUGGGAAAAGAGCUGAGAACGACUGAUGGCCUGCUAAAAGGAGCAGAAGAGACUCGCACGUGGUAGCAACAACCUGCCAGGACUGCCAUCAAGCAAGUGGAAAUGUCAGUGUGUGAUUUGGAGCAGAGAGUUCAGCAAUCAAAGGACACGAUUAGAUCAAUCCGAGGAAUUGCGAGUGCUCGAAGGGAACAUGCCCUCUUUUUCAGCAAAGAGUUCUUUUUCAAGAACACAGAAGACAGUUUGAAGUCAGCUCCACCUUUCAAGCACAAAAGAUCCUUAGUGGCACAGAGAUUCAGUUUAAACCUUCUCCAGAUAAAGAGGCUGGUGGUGGCGUCUAUGAAUUAGUACAUGAA